rnacentral:rRNA from 1 species
GUGAAAUUCCGUCGGAAUCUGGGAGGACCAUCUCCUAAGGCUAAAUACUCUCUAGUGACCGAUAGUGAACCAGUACCGUGAGGGAAAGGUGAAAAGCACCCCGGAAGGGGAGUGAAAUAGAACCUGAAACCGUGUGCUUACAAGUAGUCAGAGCCCGUUAAUGGGUGAUGGCGUGCCUUUUGUAGAAUGAACCGGCGAGUUACGAUUUGAUGCAAGGUUAAGCAGUAAAUGUGGAGCCGUAGCGAAAGCGAGUCUGAAUAGGGCGUUUAGUAUUUGGUCGUAGACCCGAAACCAGGUGAUCUACCCUUGGUCAGGUUGAAGUUCAGGUAACACUGAAUGGAGGACCGAACCGACUUACGUUGAAAAGUGAGCGGAUGAACUGAGGGUAGCGGAGAAAUUCCAAUCGAACCUGGAGAUAGCUGGUUCUCUCCGAAAUAGCUUUAGGGCUAGCCUCAAGUGAUGAUUAUUGGAGGUAGAGCACUGUUUGGACGAGGGGCCCCUCUCGGGUUACCGAAUUCAGACAAACUCCGAAUGCCAAUUAAUUUAACUUGGGAGUCAGAACAUGGGUGAUAAGGUCCGUGUUCGAAAGGGAAACAGCCCAGACCACCAGCUAAGGUCCCAAAAUAUAUGUUAAGUGGAAAAGGAUGUGGCGUUGCCCAGACAACUAGGAUGUUGGCUUAGAAGCAGCCAUCAUUUAAAGAGUGCGUAAUAGCUCACUAGUCGAGUGACACUGCGCCGAAAAUGUACCGGGGCUAAACAUAUUACCGAAGCUGUGGAUUGUCCUUUGGACAAUGGUAGGAGAGCGUUCUAAGGGCGUUGAAGCAUGAUCGUAAGGACAUGUGGAGCGCUUAGAAGUGAGAAUGCCGGUGUGAGUAG